ACCUCCAACUCUCUUUUUCCACUCAUGUCACGCAGCAUCAAGGUCUCUCAUCUAGUUGGUGUCCAAAUUUAACAGCAUUACCUACAACAUAACUUGAACAAAAAAGAGAUCAAAACUGAAUUUUUGAUGAAUAUGAAAUUCAUAUCUCAAGAACUCUGCCCCUAAAGGAACAUAUUCUUUUUCUCAGUUCUAAUUGCUCAUUAAAAAGAGAAAAGGCUGAAGAUGAACCCAACUAUCUGAAAAAAGUCAACAGAAAACCCUAGGAAUGAGCAAUACUCAGAUACACAAGUUUUCUAAUAUUAUGUCAUUUCAAAAUCAAAGAGUCAAGAAUUCAUAUGUCUAGAAGACUAGGUGAGGAAGCCUGCAUCUUCCUUCUCUCUUGAAAUAGAACAGUGGUGUUACAUCUGGACAUUCAUAUCACUGCGCUCCAUGCUCAAAAAUGACUGAAGAUGGCUUGUUCCCUAUUCUGUUUCAUACCAUCAGCAGGGCAGGUGAGUAAUCUGACACAGGAUGUAAAAGCAUCGCUUCUACCAAUAAACAGCUGUGUUAGAUCUCAACUAAUAUAGCUUUGUGCCUUGGGCAAAUCCCUUAAUAGCUCUAAGCCUGAGGGUUUUUUUAAUCUGUAAAAGAAAUGGCUUUGAUAGAGAACCUCUACAGCUCCUUUAAAUAUGAUUAUUCUAGCUCUAUAAUUAUCCCUGUGUUACUCACUACACAUAACAUAACAUACAAACAGCAUGCAACAACAAGUCCUUACUUCAUUUCCUGACAUCCUCCUCCACCUACUCUGUCAUCACAAUGCCAGUGGUGACAACAAAUUGGGCAAGAUUCCAGACUCCAACGUAUAGCUCUCAAAGCCAGAUUCAGUGAAAAUUGUGAGUGUGCAUUUAGUGGGUCAAAAGGAAAUAUUCUAAUACUGUGCCUUUUACCCAUGGAAGAAACAUUUCUUCUAAAGGUUAAAUUCUCAGAUCCAGGGGAUCACUCACACACGCUGAGAGCCUUCCAGCCAGAGCCCAACAGGGAACACCACUUGCAGCAUCAUCUCUCCAACUGGAGCACAUGGCUCAGCAACACAGCUUGCCUCUCUGCACAGCCAACUUCGAGGGCCACAAAGAAAUGUCUACGAUGACAAGAGAAGAUGCUUCAGGGGUGCAUCAGAAUGUGGAGCCAGCCACCGCCCCUUCCUCCAUAGAGGGGCUGUAAGUCAAUUUUCUCUUUUCUGUGAGACAGAAAAAGGACGCGGGCACCCCAAUGUCUCCCACUCCAAGGGCCUAAGCGGCGCACCUCUCAACCUUUCCUUCCAAGGGCUGAAAGAUGGUUCCUCUCCUCCUCUCCACUCGGCCCAAUCACCCUCUCUUACUUAGUCCCUCUCCAGCCUCUUCCCUCUACCCUUCUCCCUGCUCGACCUCCUUUUCCCGGUCCCCCGCCUCUCUUUUCUCCCCGCUUGGCCCCUUUUUCUUCAGUCCGCAGCUGCCGCCGAUCCCGCGGUACCUUGAGCGUCACGUCGC